rnacentral:rRNA from 1 species
AAGUGAAUAGUGAAAUCUGGAGGCUCAACCUCACAGGCUAUUAUUCAAACUCACAGACUCGAGAAUGGUAGAGGUAACUGGAAUUUCUUGUGUAGGAGUGAAAUCCGUAGAUAUAAGAAGGAACACCAAUGGCGUAGGCAGGUUACUGGACCAUUUCUGACACUGAGGCACGAAAGCGUGGGGAGCGAACCGGAUUAGAUACCCGGGUAGUCCACGCCGUAAACUAUGGAUACUA